UUGUAGGUCUUCCUGUGGCACCUUCUUAUCUCCGCAUAAUCUCUGGUGUAGUGGGCAGCAGAGGGCUGUCUUUCUCCCAGGAUUGAUUUCCAGAGACUUAUGUUACUUGAGGAAGACACCAAGAAGGCAAAGAAAAGGAGCCAGGGAUGGCUCUUCCUCAGGGAUACUUGACUUUCAGAGAUGUGGCUAUAGAGUUCUCUUUGCUGGAGUGGAAACGCCUGGACCCUGCACAGAACGCUUUAUACAGGGCUGUGAUGUGGGAGAACUACAGGAACCUGGAGUCUGUGGGUGAGGAAAAUGUUCCUCCAGACAUGAAGAAUCUGUCCUUGUGUAUCUUGGCUUUUCCUGGUUUUGUAUUCUCUUUUGUGAUUUUGCCCCAUACGUGCUUUUGAUGUACACAGCUGGGAUUCCAGGCACGUGCCACCAUGCCCAGCAUGUUAUUUUGUAUCUUUAGUGGAGAUAGGGUUUUGCCAUGUUGGCCAGGCUCGUCUCGAACUCCUGACCUCCAUACCCACCCGCCUCGGCCUCUAA
rnacentral:lncRNA from 1 species